UACGGGAGGCAGCAGUAGGGAAUAUUGGUCAAUGGAGGCAACUAUGACCCAGCCACGCCGCGUGAAAGAUGAACGCCUACGGGUUGUAAAGUUCUUUUGUAUGGGAAGAAACUCACCCUUGCGAGGGUGCUUGACGGUACCAUAAGAAUAAGCCCCGGCUAACUCCGUGCCAGCAGCCGCGGUAAUACGGAGGGUGCAAGCGUUGUCCGGAAUUAUUGGGUUUAAAGGGUGCGCAGGCGGUUUCGUCAGUCAGAGGUUAAAGACCGGAGCUUAACUCCGUGUUUGCCUUUGAUACUGCGAGACUUGAAAUACAUAUGGGUAGGCGGAAUUCCUCAUGUAGCGGUGAAAUGCACAGAUAUGAGGAGGAAGACCGAAGGAGAAGGCAGCUUGCGUGGGUGUUAUUUGACGCUGAGGCACCAAAGAGUGGGGGGCGACCACGAUUAGAUACCCUGGUACUCCACGCGGUG
rnacentral:rRNA from 1 species